rnacentral:lncRNA from 11 species
GGUACAUGGGGGGCUGGGAGAGGAGAUGAGCAUCAUCCCAUACCUUUGGGCUCCAAGAGCAAAAAAAGUUCACUUUGGAUUUUUUGAAAUAAUCUUGGCAUGCUGAUAGAAGUGAAACCCAAAACACAAAGCUAAUAUUUGAGUGUAGUCUACCAAUACAGUAAGUCUUUUUUUUUUUUUGCACUGCAGUUCUCAGAAUCCCUGAGCCAGCACAAGCAGA